AUUGAUACAACUGUAUAACAUACUGUGUGUACAUGUAGAUAUAUGAUGCUAUUGUAAUUCAUCCUUGUGAGCCAGGAGUAACUGAAUGGAUCAAUGUCUACAACCUAAAAUGGUGCGUCUUGUAGUGACGGAACAGUUCCUGAUCUUUGUUGGAUGGGACAGGGUCACCACUCCCUUGUAUAUCAGGAUUUGUGUAUUUUAAUGGGAUUUAUGGAUAUUUACCGUGCGUCUUGUAGUGACGAACCAGUUCCUGAUCUUUGUUGGACGGGACAGGAUCACCACUCCCUUGUAUAUCAGGAUUUGUGUAUUUUAAAGUCAUUUAUUGAUAUUUACGGUGCGUCUUGUUUUCACGGAUGCUUGUGUUAAAAUUGGCUACAGGCAAGGACAACCUCAGCCUGACAUGUGUUAAUCAUUUGAUUGUUGACUGUUGAGUUGGGGGACUACUGUUUGUUAUCCAUUGUACCUGUUGAAUGGACACAAUGCAGUAUCAACUCGGUUGCAAUGGAAGUUGAUGUUCUCGUUUUCCUGGUGUAUGGCAGCUUAAGUGAAGCAUGGAUUUCAACAAAUAAGCGAGUAGGAAACUUGCCAUUAUUGAUUCUACCAGAUAGCACUGCUAUUUUUCCAUUACUAAAUGCAGUUUUGUUUUUAUUGAUAAUUCUAUUUAUUGUAGCUUUUGCGAGCAAGUGACAGCAUUAAUGUUUUGCUAUAAAUAUAAUAUUGCAUUAAUGAAUAUUAUUACAGUCUCCAUGAAAAUGAUUACUUUGUUAUGAAUUAAAGUUUAUGAUAAUUUAGUCUCACAUGAUUAAGUGAGAAACAGGAA